rnacentral:misc_RNA from 1 species
AACGCACAUUGCGCCCCUUGGUAUUCCGAGGGGCAUGCCUGUUCGAGCGUCAUUAUAACCACUCAAGCCUAGCUUAGUAUUGGGGUUCGCGGUCUCGCGGCCUUUAAAAUCAGUGGCGGUGCCACCUGGCUCUAAGCGUAGUAAUUUAUCUCGCUAUUGGGUCCGGUAGUUGCUUGCCAACAACCCUUAACUUUUAAGGUUGACCUCGGAUCAGGUAGGGAUACCCGCUGAACUUAA